UAGGACCUUUCCCCUUAGCUGAAAAAAAAAAAAACCAACCCUAGAUCUAAGAACACAAUUGCCGCCUCUCACUCUCAGUCAAUCUCUCCCUCGCAUGCUCUCACACUCUCAUGAACCUCAAUCCCUCAAUCCACCCUCAAUCCCUUUCACCCUCUCCAGUUCACACACACUCCCAUCCUCCUGCGAUUCCGGCAAAGCAAGUUUGGAUAGAAGCUUGAGGACUGAACCCUAACUCCAAAAUCAAGACCAGAGAAGCUUCGACUUUCAGGGUUGAUUUUAAAUAGGGCCUACAGAAGAGACAUUUCAAAUCAUGAGAUCACAAUUUGGAUGGUCCUCACAUGUUGUCCUCAGAGCCUUCAAACUUAGGGCAUGUUGCUGGUGUACAGACGAUUAUGAGUGCUAGGCUUCCUAUAAUCAAGCUUGUAGACUGUGGAACCGGAAUUGAGUGUGAUUUAUCAAUUGAGAACAGGGAUGGCAUUGUAAAAUCCCAGAUUGUCUACAUAAUAUCUAGAAUUGACGGAAGGUUUCAGAAACUGAGUUUUAUGGCGCUAUACCACCAACCUUGGGUUCACUAGUGAAUCUUCGGCAACUGUAUCUCUACUUCAAUAGGUUAUCAGGCUUAAUUUGAAAUCCCUCAGCGGCUUCUGGGCCACAACCAAUUCCUUGAAUGAUAAAUUUCCGGACACUUAUGGGAACCUUACGAGUCUAAAAUAUUUGUAGGUGUUUCCUGUUUUAAGUUUAUUAGGAUACUCCAAGUCUUUUCAAUUUCUACAUGUAACCUGAUUGUCAUUUCUUACGAGUA